AUGAAGCUGGUGCCGAGGGAGGCGGAGAAGCUGGCGCUGCACGGCGCCGGCUUCUUGGCGCAGAAGCGCCUCGCCCGCGGCCUCCGCCUCAACUACACGGAGGCCAUCGCCCUCAUCGCCGCGCAGAUUCUCGAGUUUGUUCGGGAUGGAGACAAAACUGUAACUGACUUGAUGGACUUGGGGAAACAGAUGCUGGGCAGGAGACAAGUUCUUCCGGCUGUUCCAUACCUUUUGGACACUGUACAGGUUGAAGGAACAUUUAUGGAUGGAACAAAACUAAUUACUAUACAUGACCCUAUUUGUUCUGAUGAUGGAAAUUUGGAGCUAGCUCUGCAUGGUUCUUAUCUCCCAGUACCUUCACUUGAAAAGUUUUCUGGGAGUGAUGUUGAGGACUAUCCUGGUGAAGUGCAUUUCUGCUCUGGACGCAUAAUCCUCAACCUUCAUCGCAGGGCUUUAACUCUGAAGGUUGUUAACAAGGCAGACAGGCCUAUUCAGAUCGGGAGCCAUUACCACUUUAUAGAGGCCAAUCCGUACCUGGUUUUUGAUAGACACAGAGCCUAUGGCAUGAGACUGAAUAUACCUGCUGGAACAGCCGUUCGGUUUGAGGUUCUUUUAUUCGAUCCAUCCUUUGGCAUUUCCUGCUCUGUAGAGCCUAAAAAUACAUUUCAACCAGGGGAUGCAAAAGGUGUUACACUUGUAAGCAUUGGUGGUCAUAAAGUAAUUAGAGGUGGAAAUGGCAUUGCUGAUGGUGCUGUUGACAGUUCUCAGCUUAAUGAGGUAAUGCAGAAGAUUACUGAGAAUGGUUUUGGACAUGAAGAUUAUCCGGAUGCAAGCGAAGGUCUUAUUGGUGACGGUACAUUCGACUGCAGUGUUGAUCAUGAGAAAUACUCUAGCAUGUAUGGACCUACAACUGGUGAUAAGAUUAGGCUUGGUGAUACCGAUCUUUUUGCGGAGAUUGAAAAGGACUUUGCUGUUUAUGGUGAUGAGUGCAUAUUUGGAGGGGGGAAAGUUCUGCGUGAUGGAAUGGGACAAUCCGCAGGGUAUCCAGCAUCUGCCUCCCUGGAUACAGUUAUAACAAAUGCUGUUGUGAUUGACUAUACAGGAAUAUACAAGGCUGAUAUUGGUAUAAAAGAUGGGCUUAUUAUUGCCAUUGGGAAAGCUGGAAACCCUGAUGUCAUGGAUGGUGUGCACAGCAACAUGAUUGUUGGGGUGAAUACAGAAGUUAUUGCUGCUCAAGGCAUGAUUGUAACUGCUGGUGGUAUAGAUUGCCAUGUUCACUUCAUAUGCCCUCAGCUGGUAAAUGAGGCAAUUGCAAGUGGCAUAACAACAUUGGUGGGAGGUGGAACAGGACCAGCACAUGGAACUUGUGCCACAACUUGCACCCCUGCACCGUCUCAAAUGAAACUAAUGUUGCAGUCCACCGACGAAUUUCCAAUCAACGUGGGAUUCACAGGAAAGGGAAAUACUGCAAAACCCGAAGGAUUAUCUGAGAUCAUUAUGGCAGGAGCAAUGGGUUUGAAGCUGCAUGAAGAUUGGGGAAGCACCCCAGCUGUGAUAGAUAACUGUUUAUCUGUUGCAGAAGCUUUUGAUAUCCAAGUUAAUAUCCACACGGAUACCUUAAAUGAAGCAGGUUGUGUGGAGCAUACAAUUGCAGCUUUUAAAGAUAGGUCCAUACACACAUAUCACAGCGAAGGUGCAGGUGGUGGUCAUGCCCCAGACAUCAUUAAAGUAUGUGGGGUGAAAAAUGUGUUGCCUUCUUCAACAAACCCAACCCGGCCUUUUACUUCUAACACUGUUGAUGAGCACCUUGAUAUGCUGAUGGUUUGCCACCACCUUGAUAAAAACAUCCCGGAAGAUGUAGCAUUUGCUGAAUCAAGAAUUCGAGCAGAAACAAUUGCGGCUGAGGACAUCUUGCACGACAUGGGGGCAAUCAGUAUCAUAUCAUCUGAUUCACAGGCCAUGGGUCGCAUUGGAGAGGUGAUUAUCCGAACAUGGCAAACUGCAAACAAGAUGAAAGUCCAAAGAGGUAGGUUACAUGGGCCUGGCGACUCUGAUCCUGCCAAGGAUAAUGACAACUUCCGUAUAAGAAGAUACAUAGCAAAAUAUACCAUAAAUCCUGCUAUAGUAAGCGGCUUCUCAGAUUUUGUUGGUUCUGUGGAGGCGGGAAAGUUAGCUGAUCUAGUUCUUUGGAAACCUGCUUUCUUUGGUGCAAAACCAGAAUUAAUCAUAAAAGGUGGUGCAAUUGCGUGGGCCAAUAUGGGUGAUCCGAAUGCUAGCAUUCCAACACCUGAACCUGUUAUGAUGCGACCUAUGUUUGGUGCAUAUGGAAAGGCCGGGAGUUCUCACUCGAUUGCAUUUGUGAGCAAGGCUGCCAAAGAAGCUGGUGUUGCAUCAGAGUACAAACUAGCAAAGAGGGUGGAAGCUGUUGUUGGCGUCCGCCAUUUAUCGAAGCUGGACAUGAAGCUCAACGACGCGCUUCCGAAAAUCAAGGUCGACCCCGAGACCUACACGGUUACUGCUGAUGGAGAGGUCCUGACUUGCCAGCCAGCAGCCACGGUGCCAUUAUCUCGGAACUACUUUCUUUUCUAG
rnacentral:rRNA from 1 species